rnacentral:misc_RNA from 1 species
GGCUUCCUGCAUUUAACAAAACAGCAGUGUGAAUAAUACAAAUGCUCAAGAUACAACAGAGGCAAAACUGGCAGAAAAAGAAUGAUCGACCCAUCCAAUUGUUCCAAUUUGCAUUACUAGAAAGUCCUACAGCUGCCAAACCCAACAAACAAAUAUCCUUACUGACAAUUGCAAUGAAGGCUGAGAAAACUCACCAUCCAAAGAUCCACACAUACAAGAAGUUAAAUAACCAGGAAGCAUAAUCAUAGCCUCAGUUAACAUGGACUGAUCCUUUACCAAGUUAAUCAUUGCCCAAUAUGACCAAGACAUUUCAUCUGAAGGACAGAUG